rnacentral:rRNA from 1 species
UACGGAGGGUGCAAGCGUUAAUCGGAAUUACUGGGCGUAAAGGGUGCGUAGGUGGUUGAUUAAGUUAUCUGUAAAAUCCCUGGGCUUAACCUGGGCAGGUCAGAUAAGACUGGUUGACUCGAGUAUGGGAGAGGGUAGUGGAAUUUCCGGUGUAGCGGUGAAAUGCGUAGAGAUCGGAAGGAACACCAGUGGCGAAGGCGGCUACCUGGCCUAAUACUGACACUGAGGCACGAAAGCGUGGGGAGCAAACAGG